rnacentral:lncRNA from 1 species
CUUAUCCUUCUUUUUAUGAUCUUGAAACUCAUUAAUUGACAUUUUUAACUUCUUUUUUUAAUAUUUAUUUUUUAGUUUUAGGUGGACACAAUAUCUUUAUUUUAUUUUUAUGUUGUGCUGAGAAUAGAACCCCGUGCCUCAUGCAUGCUAGGCAAGCAUGCUACCACUUGAGCCACAUCCCCAGCCCUUUAAUUUCUUUAUAUGAUAUAUUAAUCUGUUAUCUAUUGCUAAUAACAAAGAACCACAGAUUGGGUAAGUUUUAGAGGAAAGAGUUUUCUUUUGGCCUAUGGUUGAGGAGGCUCAAAGUUUAGAUAUCUCCUGUGGUUUGGCCGCUGCUGUUGGCCUUCUUGCUGGCAGGGUCCCAAAGUAGCACACAGCAUCAGUUGGCAAGAGACAAAGAGCACAUAUGUGAAAGUGUUUCUGUUGUGGUCUCUUUCUUUUUAUAAAGCCACCAGGAUUCAACCACAGGGGUACCACCUUAAUGACUUUAUCUAAUACUGAGCACCUCCCAAAGGUCUCAUAUCUAAACAUCUUAGUCAGAUUGUUUCCACCCUCCUAAUGCUGCACAGUGGGGAUGAACUUUCAAUACAUAAAAACUUGGAGGACAAAUUCAAAUCAUAUCCAAAUAAUUUCAUAUUAUAUGUAAAACAUAUACUAUGUGAUCCUUAAGGUUUUUACAUAUAGGUGAUUUAUUGUUUGGAGAAUAAUAUACAUUAACAUAGAAUGCAUUUUUCUACAUACUAUGAUACAACAUUAUGUGUUCAAUAUUCUGUUUCAUUUUUAUCCUUGAAGCUCAGAAAAACUAUAUUUUUCAUUAUCACUAGCAGUUACCUGGGUCUACAUGAUCAAGUUCGGCCAAUGAAAUAUGAGCAGAAAUGAUGUAGACACUUUCAGGCCUAGUCCCCAAAUAUCCCACACAAUCUUUUCCCCCCAGUUUUCAUUAGUUGUCUGGUUAGAUGCAGUGGAUCCAAUGGAGAACUCCUAGGCACUGGAAGAAGUGUGGAUGACUAGGGGCUGGGGAUGUGGCUCAAGCGGUAGCGUGCUUGCCUGGCAUGCGUGCGGCCCGGGUUCGAUCCUCCGCAC